CGUAGGGGGCGAGCGUUGUCCGGAAUUAUUGGGCGUAAAGAGCGUGUAGGCGGUUCGGUAAGUCUGUCGUGAAAACCUGAGGCUCAACCUCGGGCGUGCGAUGGAUACUGCCGGGCUAGAGGAUGGUAGAGGCGAGUGGAAUUCCCGGUGUAGCGGUGAAAUGCGCAGAUAUCGGGAGGAACACCAGUAGCGAAGGCGGCUCGCUGGGCCACUCCUGACGCUGAGACGCGAAAGCUAGGGGAGCGAACAGGAUUAGAUACCCUGGUAGUCCUAGCCGUAAACGAUGAACACUAGGUGUGGGGGGAGUCGAAUCCCUCUGUGCCGCAGCUAACGCGAUAAGUGUUCCGCCUGGGGAGUACGGCCGCAAGGCUA
rnacentral:rRNA from 1 species